UCCGGCUCGUCACCGGCAGUUCCUUCAGAGUGCCCAGCCAAACCUGAUGGCAACUGAAGGCGAGGGUUGCGCUCGUUGCGGGACUUAACCCAACAUCUCACGACACGAGCUGACGACAGCCAUGCAGCACCUGUGCAAGAGGCCCUCGCGGGAACGUACAUCUCUGUACGCAUCCUCUCCAUGUCAAGUCCUGGUAAGGUUCUGCGCGUUGCGUCGAAUUAAACCACAUGCUCCUCCGCUUGUGCGGGCCCCCGUCAAUUCCUUUGAGUUUCAGCCUUGCGGCCGUACUCCCCAGGUGGAUCACUUAAUGCUUUUGCUUAGCCGCUAACUGUGUAUCGCUAACAGCGAGUGAUCAUCGUUUACGGCGUGGACUAC
rnacentral:misc_RNA from 1 species